rnacentral:misc_RNA from 1 species
GAAAAAAAUAAACAUCCUCGACGAUAGAAACUAGGCAUGAACACGUCGUUGUGAGGUGAUGGAGAAGUGUCACUGCUAUCAAUCUAGCAUGUGCUGAAUGCUCGUUCCAGAGAUAUUUCUACUUGUUGGUUGUAUGUAAUGUAUGUCUGUGGCUGGGUGAAACUGAAAAUCAGUGAUAUAUGCAACAACUGUUCAGUGCGUUGCGUCGUUUGUUGUGUGGAGGGUGUUGCAACAAAGAACGAGCGUUUUUGUUUUCCGAGAUGGCCAGUUUGAGAAUUAAUGGCCAGUUGUCUGAAGAUCAUACCGCAUUUUUCAUGUGUGAUGUACAGGAAAAAUUUAGAGGUGUCAUUGCAUAUUACGACGCGGUUAUCAGCGUGGCUGAUAAAAUGGUGAAAACAGCAAAAAUAUUGAAUAUACCUUUGAUAGUGACUGAGCAGUACCCAAAGGGCUUGGGACGCACUGUAUCUGAGCUAGAUAUCAGCCAUGCAUAUCUUGUGGAAGAAAAAACGAAAUUCAGUAUGAUAACUCCAGUAGUUACUCAAGCUAUGCAGGAAAUUUGCAAAGGAGCUGUGAAAGCUAUAGUACUUUUUGGCGUGGAGGCUCAUGUUUGUGUGGAACAGACUGCAGCAGAGUUACUAGCCCAUGGUAUGCAGGUGCAUGUUGUUGCUGACUGUACAUCGUCACGGUCACAAGAAGAUCGUUUCCUGGCUCUUCAUAGAAUGAGUCAGAUGGGUUGUUACAUCACCACCAGUGAAACAGUUAUAUUCAAAUUGCUUGGUGAUAAGAACCACCCUAAGUUUGCUGAAAUAAGGCCAUUGAUCAAAACUCCAUCACCACCAACAGGAUUGGUUAAUUACUCUAAAAUGUGUAACUAAUAUAUCCACUGAAGGGGCACUACUGCUUUUUAUUAAAUUCUUGUAAUGUGUGGAUUCCAGAAAUAUUUGGGUAGAGGGAAAUCAGUAAAAAUUUAUGGAACAAGUUGAUGUUCUUGUACUUGGGAGGGUAAGGACAUGAUCACAUAGAAGAAAAGAAAAAGCAGAAAAGGAAAUGUCAUUGAAUUUAACUGCAUUCAUUAUCAGUCAUUCUGACUGAAAUGUUAACCAGUGCUAAUAAGUUAUCCUUAUUGCACCUACUCAAUGUUUUUCCAUGUCAAGUAUUUCAUUUCAUUUUUAACUACCACAUUAUAGACUUAAGUUUUGUAUGAAAAUAUGAUUUCGUAAACUCAUAUCAGAUUCUCAAUCAUUUUCCUUUUUAUUGUAGACAGAUACAGAACAUAGUUUCUGGCCACUAUUUAGUAAUUGUGUUAUCAGAUGUUGUGUAGUUUUUAUGAUUUUGCCACAAAUAUAUGCAAUUAAACCUGCAUUAGCUAUCAUUAUAUAACUGAAGUUACAAGUGAAUUCAACAUAAUACAAAUUUUGAUUAUGUUGUCUUCAAUAUUGUCCUUUCUUUAAAAAAAUAAUUUGUAUUAGUGACUUUUGUAAGCAGUUUGGGGAAGCUCACAGUACAGAUUAAUUUCCAGUGAGAAAUAUGCCCAAUUUUCUCCAUGCAGCUUGUUUUAAAAAUAAACAGUGAUGGUGAUGGAUUUAACAUUGAUUGUUCAUGUAUCUUGAAAGAUACUGAUUUAUAAUUGCAGCAGCCAGAAAAUGGUUUGUGUUAUUUGAUCAGUUAAUAAGUGCAAGUAAAUAUUGUGUAAUAAGAAAUUAUAUCAUGGAAUUAAGAUAUUACAACAGUGGUGGUAUAUUUUAUUUUGUUCAAGUUAGUAUCAGGACAAGAAAGAUUAAGACAGUGGAGAACGAGUAAUAUUAUUCAAUGUCUCAAUGUAAUUUGAUGUUAUUUCAUAGAUGUGUGGCGUAUUCUCAGUGGUGCUUAAAUUAAGUGUUCUACAUGGUUACAAGAAUAACUUUGGCUCAUUGUUAUAUUACACACCUACAUGUGAGAAAAUAAUGUAAAAAUUGCAUUGAAAUAUUAAGCUAAUUUUUUUUUUAAUAAUUUGGUACAGAAAUGUAAAAUACUUAAUGAGAAAUAAAUUUAACUUCGUUUAAUGGGCAUUA